UUCGGCCACAUCACGUAGAAACACCGGUUACCGUACGAUCACCGAAGUUAAGCAAAGUUGAACCUGGUCAGUAUCGAGAUGGGUGACUGCUUGGCAAUACCAGGUGCUGUAA